UACAGAGGGUGCGAGCGUUGUUCGGAAUCAUUGGGCGUAAAGCGCUUGUAGGCGGCCUGUCAAGUCGCGUGUGAAAUCCCUUGGCUUAACCAAGGAAGUGCGCGCGAAACUGGCGGGCUUGAGUGCCGGAGAGGGUCGCGGAAUUCCCGGUGUAGAGGUGAAAUUCGUAGAUAUCGGGAGGAACACCAGUGGCGAAGGCGGCUAUCUGGGCUUUAACUGACGCUGAGGCGCGAAGGCUAGGGGAGCAAACAGG
rnacentral:rRNA from 1 species